rnacentral:misc_RNA from 1 species
UAUGGCUAAGAUUUCUUUCCCAUCAAGAGAUUUAAUGUACAAAAAGGGAAGAUUUAUUUCUCAAGGAAGAAAUAUAAAGCCAAUGUACUCCAAAAUUUUAGGCAUUUAAUUACCAGAAAUUUAAAGAAGUUAAAAAGGAAGAAAAAGAUUUUCUCUUUAAUUACUCAUAUAAACAAAAGCAAUUAGAAAGAAGCAGAAAUACAAUCAAAGACUACAAAACAUAAACCCUAGCAUAACACCAAACACAUCAACAUCCCCUUAAUUAAAUACCGACAAAUCCCCCAUAUUAACCAUCGCCCUACUUAGCAUGUUUCUUUCAGCAAAUCCACCACUAACACCGCCGCGGCCACCACCACCACCACCAUGUUGAAUUUGAUUAUUGUGACCAUUUGAAGAUUGUAACUGUUGCUGCUGCUUGUGUUGUUGUGGCUUCUUUCUCUUCUUCUUCUCGUAAGCUAUCCCUCUCGCCUUAGCUUGUUCAUCUCUCACUUCCCUAAGGUAUAGUCUGACAGCGCGUGCACCAAAAGGGUUGGUCUCAGGCAGGCCGCCGUUUUCCUCGAAGGCUGCUCGGAGGCGUCCGAUCAGCGCGUCGAGGCUUCCCCACGCCUGCUUAAGUGGACAAGGGCAAGGAGCUGGUGGGUGCUGGUGACCAAAAAAUGGACAAGUCUGGUUAUGCACCUUUGUCUUGCCAAACUGGUCAAGAUACCUCAAGAACUCCAGGACAUGAGCGCCGCUACACCGGGAUAGUGCUAAGGGUGGGCGGUGGUUUCUGAGGUACUGGCCAAAAGUAUUCCAGUCUCGUCUCUUUUGGGAUUCAUAACGACUUAAUGGCAGCGAUGGCGGCGGUUGUGGCACUGUUGGUGGUGAUAAGGUUACCUGCUGCAGCUGUUGAUGAUGGUUCCCAUUUCUUGAUGAGCCUGUAGAAUUGCAAACCACCGCGGCGGCGGCGGCAGCGGCGAUUGCAGCUGACAUGUUUGGAGUUUAGAAAAAUACGAAGGGGAGAGAUGUUUGGUGGUGGAGCAGAGAAGAAGCUAGAGAAAUUGGAUGUUUUAAGGUAUAAAAUUUUGGAGCUCUAUGCACACACACAUAUAUAUGCGAUCUCUGAAAAGAGUACUGCAGCUAGCUUGGAUUGGCGAAACAAUUAUGCUCAGAAGAGAGCAUAUAGAUAAGUUUUUUGGCACUUUAGAGGGAAAAAAAUAGGGAUAUAAAUACAAAUACACCCAAGAAUCACACAGAAUGGUGGGGAGAGAGAGAGAGAGA